UUUUGUUACAGAGUAUAAACA
ensembl:piRNA 21ur-9075 ncRNA